AGAUUGAACGCUGGCGGCAGGCCUAACACAUGCAAGUCGAACGGUAACAGAAAGCAGCUUGCUGCUUUGCUGACGAGUGGCGGACGGGUGAGUAAUGUCUGGGAAACUGCCUGAUGGAGGGGGAUAACUACUGGAAACGGUAGCUAAUACCGCAUAACGUCGCAAGACCAAAGAGGGGGACCUUCGGGCCUCUUGCCAUCGGAUGUGCCCAGAUGGGAUUAGCUUGUUGGUGGGGUAACGGCUCACCAAGGCGACGAUCUCUAGCUGGUCUGAGAGGAUGACCAGCCACACUGGAACUGAGACACGGUCCAGACUCCUACGGGAGGCAGCAGUGGGGAAUAUUGCACAAUGGGCGCAAGCCUGAUGCAGCCAUGCCGCGUGUAUGAAGAAGGCCUUCGGGUUGUAAAGUACUUUCAGCGGGGAGGAAGGGAGUAAAGUUAAUACCUUUGCUCAUUGACGUUACCCGCAGAAGAAGCACCGGCUAACUCCGUGCCAGCAGCCGCGGU
rnacentral:rRNA from 1 species